GAGGAAGGUGGGGAUGACGUCAAGUCAUCAUGGCCCUUACGAGUAGGGCUACACACGUGCUACAAUGGCGCAUACAAAGAGAAGCGACCUCGCGAGAGCAAGCGGACCUCAUAAAGUGCGUCGUAGUCCGGAUUGGAGUCUGCAACUCGACUCCAUGAAGUCGGAAUCGCUAGUAAUCGUAGAUCAGAAUGCUACGGUGAAUACGUUCCCGGGCCUUGUACACACCGCCCGUCACACCAUGGGAGUGGGUUGCAAAAGAAGUAGGUAGCUUAACCUUCGGGAGGGCGCUUACCACUUUGUGAUUCAUGACUGGGGUGAAGUCGUAACAAGGUAACCGUAGGGGAACCUGCGGUUGGAUCACCUCCUUACCUUAAAGAA
rnacentral:rRNA from 1 species